rnacentral:rRNA from 1 species
UAGGGAAUAUUGGGCAAUGGAUGCAAGUCUGACCCAGCCAUGCCGCGUGCCGGAUGAAGGCCCUCAGGGUUGUAAACGGCUUUUAUUCGGGAAGAAGAGCACGGAUGCGUCUGUGUGUGACGGUACCGAAUGAAUAAGCAACGGCUAACUCCGUGCCAGCAGCCGCGGUAAUACGGAGGGUGCGAGCGUUGUCCGGAUUUAUUGGGUUUAAAGGGUGCGUAGGUGGCUUUUUAAGUCAGUGGUGAAAUACAGCCGCUCAACGGUUGAGGUGCCAUUGAUACUGAAAAGCUUGAAACAAGUGGAGGCUGCCGGAAUGGAUGGUGUAGCGGUGAAAUGCAUAGAUAUCAUCCCGAACACCGAUUGCGAAGGCAGGUGGCUACGUUUGAUUUGACACCGAGGCACGAAAGCAUGGGGAGCAAACA